AGGUGGGGUACUUCGAAAGGCUCUUACUUUUAAGGGCGGGAUGAGAAAAUCAAGGCUGUAGGAACUGCAAUAGCUAACCAAUCAGGUUUGGACCAGCCAGUCUUCUAGACCAUUCAACAGCAACGCUGAAACAGCCCUAUCCCUCCAAAAGACAUAAACACAGAAAAAAUGGCCACACAACUUCAAGAAUAUGCAGAAAUGGAUGGAAUAACUACAACAGUUCCAAGGACGCUUCUAUCUUUAGACUGCUGUAUUAUGAGAGAGGAUGGGAGAAAUGAGAGCAUCAAGAAACAAAAGACUCAUGGAAUCAUAGGACAUUCAUCUUGGAUGAGACCAGAGAGGCCAACCCAUGUGUGUAUUUCCCCACCCCAUCCAACCCCCAGCAACUCACUCUCCUCUGGACACACCCAGUGACUUGGGAGCAGUCAGCUAUGCCCUAUGGGAAGCACAGGAGCUGCCUGCCUGCUUGCAACGACCAGCCAUUUGAUUUGCCUGCUCUGUACCCUGGCUGCAUCUCAAGGGCUCUUCAAGGGACAAAGAAGUUACAGUCAGAUUGGUUUCUGUGGACGGAAGCCUGGCAGCUCAGCACCUGUCAUGGGCCACCCCGAACACAGCAAGUGGAAAUGCGUCCUCUGGACCCCCACCUGCCUGGGACACUCACCUCAUCCUGACAGGCCCAGCCCUUCUCUGCCAUCCCGUGCUGCGAGGCACCACCAACUGCCAAGGUGUGGGCUGAAGGGCAGCGGCCCAGGCCAAUGGAGACUUGGGGAAGGUAAGGAAAGGAGAACCAAGAAUUAAGUGGGAUGGAGGGAGCAGAAAAGAGAAGAAGUGUCCCAGCAAGGAGGAACUUCCUGGGAAGAUGAAAUAAGAGGCAGAUUCUCCUCGGUGAGUGGUUGCAUAAGUCUAGGGCAGCUCCAUAGUAAGAUUCCAGGGGCAAUAGGGGUGGAUGGAACAUCAACGCAACCUCAAUGGCGGACCGCGGGGUGACAGCGAGGGGUGCCUCCUGCACACCGACAGGGUCUGGUAUUUACUUUAGCACAGGCCUCAGGAAUACAGUUCUGCCUCAUAAAAGACUAGGGAAUGCUGACAAAAGAAAGUUCUGUGCUUUCCUGACAACUGCAUGCACUGUCAGGAAACAGUGGGUCCUACUUAGAGUUGAGUUGGAAAAUGGAUUUGGGGGCUGAAGAAUCAAAUGAUGCUGUGAAGCACUCUCUUUGUGGCGUCUUCAUAACACUUCAUGCUUGUGGAGCUGGCAGUCACUGGAUUCAGCUUCCUCCCAAUGCAGGGAUUCCUUACACACAACUGCUGAGCAGCAUGCAGGGACCUAAGGCCACUCCGUGGUGCAGCCGGCUAAGAAAUGACAGGGCCACCAGGCCGGCUGCACUCCUGUACCUUCCUCUCUUAUUCAGUGCAGGAAGCCCAGUGUUCCUGUAGCAGGCAGCCCCAUGGUCUAGCUCAGUCUAGCUCCACAUCCUGUCCUCAAUGUGACAAAGAUCCUGUGCUUGGCCAGUCUUUAGUCAGGCCCUGAUCCUUCUCCUAGGCCCAUUAGCAAGAACCCCAGCUAAGUCAGUCUGGCAAGAAUUCCCCACAGAAACAUGCUGACAUGCUGACCUGCCUUCAGCAGGAAACCCUUUAGGCUGGUUUGGCCAGAACUGCCCGCAGACUUGGCGUCUCCUCUGAGUAACUUUACACCCACUGACCCUCUGCUCCUUGGCCAUCAGUGCCCACUCGUCCCCGUUGUACUUGUAACGGAGCCCAACCCAGCUCUUCACUGGAGUCUUUUUUGCAAUAGUCCUGAAUAAAAUGUGCCAUCACUGA